rnacentral:rRNA from 1 species
CUUCAAGUCCGGUAAUUGGAAUGAGUACACUUUAAAUCCUUUAACGAGGAUCUAGUGGAGGGCAAGUCUGGUGCCAGCAGCCGCGGUAAUUCCAGCUCCACGAGCGUGUACGUAAGUUGUUGCAGUUAAAAAGCUCGUAGUUGGAUCUCAGGCCUGUGGCCGGUGGUCCGCCCGAUACGGGUGUGCACUGCCGUGCCCGGUCUACGUCUGGUUUACGUCCAUAGUGCCCUUAACCGGGUGCUUUGGAAUGCCAGAAGGUUUACUCUGAAAAAAUUAGAGUGCUUAAAGCAAGCCGUUGUGCUUGAAUACUGUUGCAUGGAAUAAUGGAAUAGGACCUCGGAUCUAUUUUGUUGGUUUUCGGAGUCGAGGUAAUGAUUAAGAGGGACAGACGGGGGCAUUCGUAUUGCGCCGUUAGAGGUGAAAUUCUUGGAUCGGCGCAAGACGAACAACUGCGAAAGCAUUUGCCUAGGAUGUUUUCAUUAAUCAAGAACGAAAGUCAGAGGUUCGAAGACGAUCAGAUACCGUCGUAGUUCUGACCAUAAACGAUGCCAACUGGCGAUCCGCCGUAGUCUGGCUUAAAGGACUCGGCGGGCAGCCUCCGGGAAACCUAAGUCUAUGGGUUCCGGGGGAAGUAUGGUUGCAAAGCUGAAACUUAAAGGAAUUGACGGAAGGGCACCACCAGGAGUGGAGCCUGCGGCUUAAUUUGACCCAACACGGGAAAACUCACCCGGCCAGGACACCGUAAGGAUUGACAGACUGAGAGCUCUUUCUUGAUUCGGUGGGUGGUGGUGCAUGGCCGUUCUUAGUUGGUGGAGCGAUUUGUCUGGUUAAUUCCUAUAACGAACGAGACUCUAGCCUGCUAAAUAGACGGGCGAUCCACUUGUGGGUCGACCCGAUUUGCUUCUUAGAGGGACAAGUGGCGUUCCUAGCCACGCGAAAUUGAGCAAUAACAGGUCUGUGAUGCCCUUAGAUGUCCGGGGCCGCACGCGCGCUACAAUGAGGGACGCAGUGUGCCCGCAAAGCCUGACCCGAAAGGGUUGGGUAAUCAUUUCAAUUUCCCUCGUAAUAGGGAUUGAGCAUUGUAACUAUUGCUCAUGAACGAGGAAUUCCUAGUAAGCGCGAGUCAUAAGCUUGCGUUGACUACGUCCCUGCCCUUUGUACACACCGCCCGUCGCUACUACCGACUGAAUGGUUUAGCGAGAUCCUCGGAUCGGGCCCUCAGGCUGCGCAAGCAUCUUAAGGGUCUGAGAAGAAGCUCAAGCUUGAUCAUUUAGA